GGGUUGUGAGGUUAAGCGACUAAGCGUACACGGUGGAUGCCCUGGCAGUCAGAGGCGAUGAAGGACGUGCUAAUCUGCGAUAAGCGCCGGUAAGGUGAUAUGAACCGUUAUAACCGGCGAUUUCCGAAUGGGGAAACCCAGUGUGAUUCGUCACACUAUCAUUAACUGAAUCCAUAGGUUAAUGAGGCGAACCGGGGGAACUGAAACAUCUAAGUACCCCGAGGAAAAGAAAUCAACCGAGAUUCCCCCAGUAGCGGCGAGCGAACGGGGAGGAGCCCAGAGCCUGAAUCAGCAUGUGUGUUAGUGGAAGCGUCUGGAAAGGCGCGCGAUACAGGGUGACAGCCCCGUACACAAAAGCGCAUGUGCUGUGAGCUCGAUGAGUAGGGCGGGACACGUGGUAUCCUGUCUGAAUAUGGGGGGACCAUCCUCCAAGGCUAAAUACUCCUGACUGACCGAUAGUGAACCAGUACCGUGAGGGAAAGGCGAAAAGAACCCCGGCGAGGGGAGUGAAAAAGAACCUGAAACCGUGUACGUACAAGCAGUGGGAGCACAGGUUUACCUGUGUGACUGCGUACCUUUUGUAUAAUGGGUCAGCGACUUAUAUUCUGUAGCAAGGUUAACCGUAUAGGGGAGCCGGAGGGAAACCGAGUCUUAAUUGGGCGUUAAGUUGCAGGGUAUAGACCCGAAACCCGGUGAUCUAGCCAUGGGCAGGUUGAAGGUUGGGUAACACUAACUGGAGGACCGAACCGACUAAUGUUGAAAAAUUAGCGGAUGACCUGUGGCUGGGGGUGAAAGGCCAAUCAAACCGGGAGAUAGCUGGUUCUCCCCGAAAGCUAUUUAGGUAGCGCCUCGUGAAUUCAUCUCCGGGGGUAGAGCACUGUUUCGGCUAGGGGGCCAUCCCGGCUUACCAACCCGAUGCAAACUGCGAAUACCGGAGAAUGUUAUCACGGGAGACACACGGCGGGUGCUAACGUCCGUCGUGAAGAGGGAAACAACCCAGACCGCCAGCUAAGGUCCCAAAGUCAUGGUUAAGUGGGAAACGAUGUGGGAAGGCCCAGACAGCCAGGAUGUUGGCUUAGAAGCAGCCAUCAUUUAAAGAAAGCGUAAUAGCUCACUGGUCGAGUCGGCCUGCGCGGAAGAUGUAACGGGGCUAAACCAUGCACCGAAGCUGCGGCAGCGAACGUAUCACUUAAAGCGAUUCAGCGGGUUACGAUUGACGGAGCGAAGCGACGUCAAAGCGUAUACAAAGUCGAGUCGGUUUAAGGAUACGUUCGUUGGGUAGGGGAGCGUUCUGUAAGCCUGUGAAGGUGUGUCGUGAGGCAUGCUGGAGGUAUCAGAAGUGCGAAUGCUGACAUAAGUAACGAUAAAGCGGGUGAAAAGCCCGCUCGCCGGAAGACCAAGGGUUCCUGUCCAACGUUAAUCGGGGCAGGGUGAGUCGACCCCUAAGGCGAGGCCGAAAGGCGUAGUCGAUGGGAAACGGGUUAAUAUUCCCGUACUUGGUGUUACUGCGAAGGGGGGACGGAGAAGGCUAUGUUGGCCGGGCGACGGUUGUCCCGGUUUAAGCGUGUAGGUGUGUGUUCCAGGUAAAUCCGGUUCACUUUAACACUGAGGCGUGACGACGAGGCACUACGGUGCUGAAGCAACAAAUGCCCUGCUUCCAGGAAAAGCCUCUAAGCAUCAGGUAACACGAAAUCGUACCCCAAACCGACACAGGUGGUCAGGUAGAGAAUACCAAGGCGCUUGAGAGAACUCGGGUGAAGGAACUAGGCAAAAUGGUGCCGUAACUUCGGGAGAAGGCACGCUGACACGUAGGUGAAGUGAUUUACUCAUGGAGCUGAAGUCAGUCGAAGAUACCAGCUGGCUGCAACUGUUUAUUAAAAACACAGCACUGUGCAAACACGAAAGUGGACGUAUACGGUGUGACGCCUGCCCGGUGCCGGAAGGUUAAUUGAUGGGGUCAGCGCAAGCGAAGCUCCUGAUCGAAGCCCCGGUAAACGGCGGCCGUAACUAUAACGGUCCUAAGGUAGCGAAAUUCCUUGUCGGGUAAGUUCCGACCUGCACGAAUGGCGUAAUGAUGGCCAGGCUGUCUCCACCCGAGACUCAGUGAAAUUGAACUCGCUGUGAAGAUGCAGUGUACCCGCGGCAAGACGGAAAGACCCCGUGAACCUUUACUAUAGCUUGACACUGAACAUUGAGCCUUGAUGUGUAGGAUAGGUGGGAGGCUUUGAAGUGUGGACGCCAGUCUGCAUGGAGCCGACCUUGAAAUACCACCCUUUAAUGUUUGAUGUUCUAACGUGGACCCGUAAUCCGGGUUGCGGACAGUGUCUGGUGGGUAGUUUGACUGGGGCGGUCUCCUCCUAAAGAGUAACGGAGGAGCACGAAGGUUGGCUAAUCCUGGUCGGACAUCAGGAGGUUAGUGCAAUGGCAUAAGCCAGCUUGACUGCGAGCGUGACGGCGCGAGCAGGUGCGAAAGCAGGUCAUAGUGAUCCGGUGGUUCUGAAUGGAAGGGCCAUCGCUCAACGGAUAAAAGGUACUCCGGGGAUAACAGGCUGAUACCGCCCAAGAGUUCAUAUCGACGGCGGUGUUUGGCACCUCGAUGUCGGCUCAUCACAUCCUGGGGCUGAAGUAGGUCCCAAGGGUAUGGCUGUUCGCCAUUUAAAGUGGUACGCGAGCUGGGUUUAGAACGUCGUGAGACAGUUCGGUCCCUAUCUGCCGUGGGCGCUGGAGAACUGAGGGGGGCUGCUCCUAGUACGAGAGGACCGGAGUGGACGCAUCACUGGUGUUCGGGUUGUCAUGCCAAUGGCACUGCCCGGUAGCUAAAUGCGGAAGAGAUAAGUGCUGAAAGCAUCUAAGCACGAAACUUGCCCCGAGAUGAGUUCUCCCUGAGACUUAGAGUCUCCUGAAGGAACGUUGAAGACGACGACGUUGAUAGGCCGGGUGUGUAAGCGCAGCGAUGCGUUGAGCUAACCGGUACUAAUGAACCGUGAGGCUUAACCUUACAACGCCGAAG
rnacentral:rRNA from 1 species